rnacentral:lncRNA from 1 species
GUGACAGUUAAUUUUUUUAGCAGUAGAGCAUAAGCUAGAAUCAAUUUUUAUGUAUAGAUUAGGAUUUAAAUGGUGUCCAUUAAGCUUUAUGUAUAUAUUAGGCUUUAAACGGUGGCCGUUAAGGCUAAGGUUAUAAGGUUAUAAGGUUGUUUCCUAAUAUAAGGUUAUAAGGUUAAACGGUGGCCAUUAAAGUUAUAAGGUUGUUUAUUAAAUGGUGGCCGUUAAAUUUUAUGUAUAGAUUAGGCUUUAAAUGGUGACCGUUAAGGCUAAGGUUAUAAGGUUGUUUACUUAACGGUGGCCGUUAAGGUUAUAAGGUUAUAAGGUUGUUUCCUAAUAAAAGGUUAUAAGGUUAAACGGUGGUUGUUAAGGUUAUAAGGUUGGUUUCUAAUAUAAGGUUAUAAGGUUAAACGGUGGCUGUUAAGGUUAUAAGGUUGUUUAUUAAACAGUAUCCGCGAAGUUUUAUGUAUAGAUUAGGAUUUAAACGGUGGCCGUUAAGGCUAAGGUGAUAAGGUUAGAAGGUUGUUUGCUUAACGGUGGCCAUUAAGUUUUACUCUUAUUAAGAAAGUGUUUCUGUGAGAUCAAUUAUGGUUACACAGCGUGAAUGGAUUUCAGGAUACUUAAGGGAAAGCCAAACAACAAAGAUGGAGCAUCUAGAUGUUUUUGCUAACUUACUACAACUAUCAAAUUAAGUUCAACAAAUUAAUAACAUAUUGAUACAAGACUAAGUGUGUAUCAGGAGAUUCAAG